rnacentral:lncRNA from 1 species
ACUAGUUCUAGUGCCCGUGCUGACGCACGAGAAACACCGUCUUUUAGUAAUUUCGUACACAAUUAUCAAUUUGCAAAUGCUAUAUAAAUUUGUGAUAAAUAAAAUGGCAAAAUAUUGUUUCUUAGUUUCACCCCACAAUUUAGAUAAAAUAUUUCUUGGUUACCAUUAAGAAUUACGGGAAGCAUAUAGUACAAAUUAUUAACUAAAUUCAAUCAAAUGGCAAAAUAUUGUGUUUUAAUUUCACCCCUCAAUUUAGAUGGCUUACUUGUUAGUUACUCUUAUCAUUUAACAGGAAGUAUGAAGUACAAAUUACUAUAUUCAAUCAAAUCAAAUAUUAACAAAGUCGAUACAUGCAUAAACAUAACCUUUCUGGGAUGCCUCCCGUGUUUUUUCUAGAUAUAAAACUUGAAACUUAAUUAUCAUAAAGUUACAUAACACCAUCCCUCUAUAAUAUUUAACAAAGUUGAUAUAUGCAUAAACAUAACUCUUCCAGGACGCCGCCCAUGUUUUUUCUAAAUAUAAAUUUGGAACUUAAUUAUACUAAAGUUACAUAAUAC